AUGAGAUUGGUUUCUGAAAUGAUUAACAGAGGUAUUCCUCCUCCAGACAUUGUGUUCUUUAAUUCAGUAAUAAAUAGUCUAUGCAAAGAAGGAAGGGUUACAGAUGCACAAGAUAUCUUUGACUUGGUUACAUACUUUGGUGAGAGGCCCGACAUCUUUACAUUUAACUCGCUGAUUGACGGAUAUUGCUUAGUUGGUGAGAUGGAGAAGGCUUUCGGAGUACUUGAUACCAUGGCAUCAGGUGGGAUUGAGCCUGAUAGUAUUUCAUAUAAUACAAUUGUUAAUGGAUAUUUUAAAAAUGAUAGGAUUGAUGAUGGAUUGGCCUUAUUCCGAGAAAUGCUGAAGAAAGUUAAACCUACAACUGUUACAUAUAACAUCAUACUGGAUGGGUUAUUUGGUGCUGGGAAAACAGUUGCUGCGAAGAAAACGUUCCAUGAGAUGAUCGAAAGUGGAAUAACAGUGAGCAUUUCCACAUACAGGAUAAUCCUUGGUGGACUUUGCAGGAAUAGUUGUGAUGAUGAAGCGAUCACCCUGUUCCAGAAAUUAGGAGCAAUGAAUGUCAAGUUGGAUAUUACAAUACUCAAUACCAUGAUCAAUGCACUGUUCAAGGUUCAGAGAAGAGAAGAAGCUAACAAUUUGUUUGCUGCAGUAUCAGCCAGUGGAUUGGUACCUAAUGCUUAUACCUAUUGCAUAAUGAUAACAAAUCUAAUAAAAGAAGGAUCAGUGGAAGAAGCUGAAAAUAUGUUCUUAUUAAUGGAGAAGAGCAGUUGUGCUCCGGACUCUCGUCUUAUAAACUGUAUCAUCAGAAUAUUAUUGGAAAAAGGUGAGAUUGUCAAGGCUGGAAAUUAUAUGUCUAAAGUUGAUGGCAAGAGCAUCUCACUUGAAGCUUCAACUACUUCGUUGUUGAUACAUCUCUUUGCAAGUAAAGGGAAAUAUCAGGAACAGAUAAAUUUACUCCCUGUAAAGUACCGAUUUUUCGAAGGAGUCAGU
rnacentral:rRNA from 1 species